UACGAAGGGGGCUAGCGUUGUUCGGAAUCACUGGGCGUAAAGCGCACGUAGGCGGAUCUUUAAGUCAGAGGUGAAACUCCAAGGCUCAACCUUGGAACUGCCUUUGAUACUGGGGAUCGUUGAGUCCGGGAGAGGUGAGUGGAACUGCGGAGUGUAAGAUGGUGAAAUUCGUAGAGUAAUUCGCAAGAACACCAGUGGCGAAGCGGC
rnacentral:rRNA from 1 species